UACGAAGGGGGCUAGCGUUGCUCGGAAUCACUGGGCGUAAAGGGUGCGUAGGCGGGUCUUUUAAGUCAGGGGUGAAAUCCUGGAGCUCAACUCCAGAACUGCCUUUGAUACUGAAGAUCUUGAGUUCGGGAGAGGUGAGUGGAACUGGCGAGUGUAGAGGUGAAAUUCGUAGAUAUUCGCAAGAACACCAGUGGCGAAGGCGGCUCACUGGCCCGAUACUGACGCUGAGGCACGAAAGCGUGGGGAGCAA
rnacentral:rRNA from 1 species